UGGCUCAGGAUGAACGCUGGCGGCGUGCCUAACACAUGCAAGUCGAACGAGAGAGGAAGGUGCUUGCACCAUCCAAUCGAGUGGCGGACGGGUGAGUAACGCGUGGGUAACCUGCCUCAUACAGGGGGAUAACAACUGGAAACGGUUGAUAAUACCGCAUAAGCGCACAGCAUCGCAUGAUGCAGUGUGAAAAACUCCGGUGGUAUGAGAUGGACCCGCGUCUGACUAGCCAGUUGGCGGGGUAACGGCCCACCAAAGCGACGAUCAGUAGCCGGCCUGAGAGGGUGAACGGCCACAUUGGGACUGAGACACGGCCCAAACUCCUACGGGAGGCAGCAGUGGGGAAUAUUGCACAAUGGGGGAAACCCUGAUGCCAGCGACGCCGCGUGAGCGAAGAAGUAUUUCGGUAUGUAAAGCUCUAUCAGCAGGGAAGAAAAUGACGGUACCUGACUAAGAAGCCCCGGCUAACUACGUGCCAGCCGCCGC
rnacentral:rRNA from 1 species